AACGGAGGGAGCGAGCGUUGUCCGGAAUUAUUGGGCGUAAAGAGCUUGUAGGCGGUUUGUCGCGUCUGCCGUGAAAAUCCGGGGCUCAACCCCGGACUUGCGGUGGGUACGGGCAGACUAGAGUGUGGUAGGGGAGACUGGAAUUCCUGGUGUAGCGGUGAAAUGCGCAGAUAUCAGGAGGAACACCGGUGGCGAAGGCGGGUCUCUGGGCCGAUACUGACGCUGAGGAGCGAAAGCGUGGGGAGCGAACAGG
rnacentral:rRNA from 1 species